UUAAUUUUAAGAUACAUUAAAAUAUCCCUUUGAGUAAUAAUGAAGAGAACCUGUAAUUAUACAGUAACCAUAAUAGCUUGUAUUUACUUCGUAUUUACCAUAUUUUAGCUCUAUAGGUUUUGUUUAUCUGAAUUUCCUUGAUCUAUUUAAGUAUCCUAUGAAGUGGUCACAUUAUUGCCCUCCUUUGUAGAUAAGAAGAUUGAAGAAGAGAAAUUGCCCCAAAUGCAGAGGCAAGAUAAGAAUCUAAGCAGGUGGCCUCUGAGCCCAACUCCCUGACCACCACAUUCAGUUAGUUUAUAUAAGUGAGAUGAUGCUUGUCAAAGCACCGCCCAUAGAUGAGAUGCCCAGUGGAUGCUCAAUUCCUUUUCUUUCCAAAGAACUUCAUAAGCCAUACUCUGAGACACCUGGGGGAUUUUGCUAUCCCAGAAAACACAGUAAAGAUUUCUCAAGUUCCCUUUUCCCCUUGAGAGACGUGGCCCCACAGUUCCCCAUAUUUCAACCAGAGACGCGCUUGUCAAAAGAGAGGCACUCAGAUAUCAUCACUGCUGUUCCUCAGAAGCAAAUAGUGGGAAAGGUCGUUCAUCCUUGA
rnacentral:lncRNA from 1 species